rnacentral:rRNA from 1 species
CCUACGGGAGGCAGCAGUGGGGAAUCUUGCGCAAUGGGCGAAAGCCUGACGCAGCAACGCCGCGUGCGGGAAGAAGGCUCUCGGGUUGUAAACCGCUUUCAGCAGGAACGAAAAUGACGGUACUUGCAGAAGAAGGUGCGGCCAACUACGUGCCAGCAGCCGCGGUGACACGUAGGCACCAAGCGUUGUCCGGAUUUAUUGGGCGUAAAGAGCUCGUAGGCGGUUCGGUAAGUCAGGUGUGAAAACUUUGGGCUCAACCCAAAGCCUGCAUCUGAUACUGCUGUGACUAGAGUUCGGUAGGGGAGCGGGGAAUUCCUAGUGUAGCGGUGAAAUGCGCAGAUAUUAGGAGGAACACCGGUGGCGAAGGCGCCGCUCUGGGCCGAAACUGACGCUGAGGAGCGAAAGCGUGGGUAGCAAACAGGAUUAGAUACCCUGGUAGUCCACGCCGUAAACGUUGGGCACUAGGUGUGGGUUUCAACCAACGAAAUCCGCGCCGUCGCUAACGCAUUAAGUGCCCCGCCUGGGGAGUACGGCCGCAAGGUUAAACUCAAAGGAAUUGACGG